GCUCCACUUUUCAUCAUGGUGUACAAAGAUUUCCUCAGCAUCAGGUCUCUGUCAUGAAAGCCCCACAUCCCUGGAAGACAAAAACACAACGACAGAGCUUGUCAGGACAGAUUACAAUAACUCCGGUGCCUCUAGACCUCGGCUGCCCUCAGAGCCCUCGCACUGGGGAGGAAAGAAUCUGGGGAGGGUGAACAUGCCAUGUCUCUAGAACACAAAGUACAGAACCACACAUGCGCCUGCAGCCCUCUGCUGCUCAGUGAGUGCCAGCGAAUGGACACAAAGCUUCUCUUGGGGAGUUGCACUCGUAAGCCCGUCAGUCCUGCCUCUAAAUCAGCAAACCUGCCUCCUGUUUCAGGUUCCUUUGAUUUUGUCAUCUUCCUUCCUUCUCAUUCCCGUCUCAUUUGCCCCCACCUCCACGCCCCUUCGAAC